UACGUAGGGUGCAAGCGUUGUCCGGAAUUAUUGGGCGUAAAGAGCUCGUAGGCGGUUCGUCGCGUCGGCUGUGAAAACCUGAGGCUCAACCUCAGGGCCUGCAGUCGAUACGGGCGGACUUGAGUACUGCAGGGGAGACUGGAAUUCCUGGUGUAGCGGUGAAAUGCGCAGAUAUCAGGAGGAACACCGGUGCGAAGGCGG
rnacentral:rRNA from 1 species